UCGAUAAAGAUAAUAGUUGAUAUAGAAUAAUAGAUUAUUUAUUUAAUGUUCAGUUCAGUCGAUUAUUAUCCGUCGUUAUUUUUGUGUCUCGCAACCACCCAACGUCGAAUCAUACAUAAAAGAUGAUCCGAGCGGUUAUUACCCAUAGCUCUAAAAUUAAAGUGAAUAACUAAAUAACAUAAAGACAUAAACUUAAAGGUAUGCUAUUUACAUGACAGUUGUGACAAUAAUAUAAUUUUAUAAAAAUUAAUUUUUUUUUCUUUUCCCUUGGAUAUAUCGUGUCACCUCUACGUUGCGUCCAUUUCACCCUGGUUGAGAACCACUGGUCUAGAGGAUCAUCUCGAAAUAUAUUGGUUGUCGUUACAGAUGUUCAAAAUAACUUGUAUAAAUUAUGUACAGACAAUGGUUUUCUGAAACAUAGUAUACCAUACAAGAACAGAAAUAGUUCCUUGUGAGGAAAAGUUGAUCGACUUAAAAAAGUACGAUACUGUCAGCCAAAAUGAAGUAAUUCUCCGGGAGGUUGCUGGGAGCCAAGGUUAUUAGAAGUGUUAUUGUAAAACAAAAUGUAAAAACAAUCGAUGUGUUUGUCGAACAGCAAAAACUCUAUGUAACUCGGAAAGUCGUAAUAGCAGUGAACCUUUGAACCUCUUACCCUGUGAAAAUUAAUACAAUUUUAAACUGUAUUGAUUUUUAACUUUUAAUAAACAAAAUAAAUUAAAUA